rnacentral:tRNA from 1 species
UCCCCGAUAGCUCAGCGGUAGAGCAACCGGCUGUUAACCGGUAGGUCAUAGGUUCGAAUCCUAUUCGGGGAGCCA